rnacentral:rRNA from 1 species
CGACCGGCGCACGGGUGAGUAACGCGUAUCCAACCUACCGCUGACUAGGGAAUAACUCAUCGAAAGGUGGACUAAUGCCCUAUGGUCUUCACGGCAGACAUCUAAAGUGGAGUAAAGAAUUUCGGUCAGCGAUGGGGAUGCGUCUGAUUAGCUUGUUGGCGGGGUAACGGCCCACCAAGGCGACGAUCAGUAGGGGUUCUGAGAGGAAGGUCCCCCACAUUGGAACUGAGAUACGGUCCAA